CUGUCAGUAUUCACUUUGUGCCUCGUGUUGAUGUCCCUCCACCUUGCUUCACAGGAUGUGUCACUCAUCAAAGCCUCUGCUGGAGGAUCUUAUUUUCCUUUCAAAUGAAAAGUGGCUGGAUGAACUAUCUCAAUCCAACAUGUGUUCAAAUCUACAGAAGCCACCCAGCAAGGGUCUGGUAGGUGGGUGCUCCCACAGUUUGUUGGUCCUCUUUGACAAAUUGAUGAUUGCGACACCAUUUCCAAUCUUUGCUGAGCUUUGGUCAUCAUCAACAAGCUCCGAAGGGAACACUUCCAACAGAAAUGGUUUAUGUUAGCUCACCUUCAGGUACUCGUCGGACGACAUAAUGUCUACCUUCUUGGCCCCUUUCAGAGGCACGCUGAUGAAAACCAUGGACUCUGUCUGCGUCCAUGAGUGGUCUGUUACGAGGAGGGGCAUCUAGUUCGUGGGCCUACACGGAUUUGUGGAUGUUUCUGGUUAUGUAUCUGCAGUUACUGUCGAAUUAAACGCGCUUAAUUUAUGAUUCGAUACAACUUUAUUGCCAGCGAGAAACAAAAGGCUAACGGAGAUGUUGUUGAUGUUGAUGAUUGUUACUAUGGAAACCAUGGAGUUAACGUUGCAUUCAAGUCUAUCGGAAACAUGAGUGUCGAACAAAUGCACUCUAAUGAGGAUUUUGUAUUGAUCAUUCUCACGAGAACUGGAUGGCAUCAGUUAUCUGCAGAAUACGUGUUUUGUUAAGCCAUAUUUUGCUGUUCGAAAAUGUAAAUACCUAGCACAAUUUAGUGAAUAACAUUCGCAGAGUAAAACUUUAUCGUCACAUUGCUGAUGUCAUAAAUACAAUAUGACGGAUUGAGGAACGCCAGUACGUAUCACGUGUGGAAAUGUUAUUCCUAAAAUGCAUCCAUCCAUCCAUCCAUCCAUCCAUCCAUCCAUCCAUCCAUCCAUCCAUCCAUCCAUCCAUCCAUCCAUCCAUCCAUCCAUCCAUCCAUCCAUCCAUCCAUCCAUCCAUCCAUCCAUCCAUCCAUCCAUCCAACUUCUCUAUACACGCCAAAACGUUUACGAGAGAUUUGCGCCACCUUGUGGCUACAUUCUCGGUCACGUGAUGCAUGGUUAUUUUAUGACAGAGUUCCUGGAGUUUUAAAUGAUUUUUUACUGAAGUAGCUUUAUUGACUAUUCAGCCACUUAAAGCUCAUAAAAUAUGAUUGAACAAUCUUACAUAAUAAACCUUUCCUUCCAUUUUAAAUGAUCUUGACUACUAUUUUCUGUUAGCCAUUCUGAAGAGGCCAGUUGUCAUUUUAUGUCACACUCCAAGGUUAAGUCAAGUUUAUUUGUUUAGCCCUAAAUCACAAUCAGUCUCAAAGGGCUUCACAUAAACAGAAAUUGACAAUUAUUCUCAAAGGUUAGGUUGUGCAUUAAAACAUUUCCCAUAAAUGCUCACAACCUUGUCGCAGGUGUAAUCUGAUGGAGAUACCAAGUCUUAACAAUCGCUUAUCUCUUGAACUGUCGUGACCGGUCGGUGACUCAUCAGUUGUUCAGAUAAUGCUGAUCCUUUAUGCUUUUGUCCAGUUCAUUCUGUCAUAAGCCAGAUUCCAUAAUGUAUCAGUUGCUAUACAGUUGUCGUUUCCCUUACUACAUGCUUUGUUCCGUUAUGUCAAUCUUUAUUCUGUCAAACAAGCCUGAUGUCUUGCGGUAUGUAAGCCCGGGUUACUCUGUGAGAAGUUGUCAGUGUGUCAAGCUAUCUAUCUUCCAGGUAGAACCUCAAAUUUUCUUGAGUAGCCAUCCCUGCUUUCUGGGGACACUUGAUAAAAACGUGUACUUUUCAAUUUUUGUAUCAUGUCUCUUUCUGGGACCCUAUCUUGCUCCACACGUGACAUGAACAUCA